rnacentral:rRNA from 1 species
UACGAAGGUGGCAAGCGUUACUCGGAAUUACUAGGCGUAAAGGGCGGGUAGGUGGUUUGAUAAGUCUGUUGUGCAAGCUCCCGGCUUAACUGGGAGAGGUCAACGGAAACUAUCAGACUUGAGUAUAGGAGAGGGUACUGGAAUUCCCGGUGUAGCGGUGAAAUGCGCAGAGAUCGGGAGGAACACCAAUGGCGAAAGCAGGUACCUGGACUAUUACUGACACUCAGCUGCGAAAGCUAGGGGAGCAAACAGG